rnacentral:misc_RNA from 1 species
GAUGAAGAACGUAGCGAAAUGCGAUACUUGGUGUGAAUUGCGGAAUCCCGUGAACCAUCAAGUCUUUGAACGCAAGUUGCGCCCGAAGCCAUUAGGCCGAGGGCACGCCUGCCUGGGCGUCACACGUCGUUGCCCCCCCAUCUACUCCUUCGGGAUUGCGGGGGGCGGAUGAUGGCCUCCCGUGCGCCUCGUCGCGCGGUUGGCAUAAAUGCCAAGUCCUCGGCGACGCACGCCACGACAAUCGGUGGUUGCGAAACCUCGGUUGCCCGUCGUGUGCGGUCGUCGCGCAUCGAGGGCUCGAAAAAAUUGCCGGGCUCCGGCUCGGCUUUCAACGCGACCCCAGGUCAGGCGGGGUUACCCGCUGAAUUUAAGCAUAUCAAUAAGCGGAGGA